rnacentral:rRNA from 1 species
CUAUGUGUUGUUGGGUAGGGGAGCGUUCUGUAAGCCUGUGAAGGUGGCCUGUGAGGGUUGCUGGAGGUAUCAGAAGUGCGAAUGCUGACAUAAGUAACGAUAAAGCGGGUGAAAAGCCCGCUCGCCGGAAGACCAAGGGUUCCUGUCCAACGUUAAUCGGGGCAGGGUGAGUCGACCCCUAAGGCGAGGCCGAAAGGCGUAGUCGAUGGGAAACGGGUUAAUAUUCCCGUACUUGGUGUUACUGCGAAGGGGGGACGGAGAAGGCUAUGUUGGCCGGGCGACGGUUGUCCCGGUUUAAGCGUGUAGGUGUGUGUUCCAGGUAAAUCCGGUUCACUUUAACACUGAGGCGUGAUGACGAGGCACUACGGUGCUGAAGCAACAAAUGCCCUGCUUCCAGGAAAAGCCUCUAAGCAUCAGGUAACAUCAAAUCGUACCCCAAACCGACACAGGUGGUCAGGUAGAGAAUACCAAGGCGCUUGAGAGAACUCGGGUGAAGGAACUAGGCAAAAUGGUGCCGUAACUUCGGGAGAAGGCACGCUGACAUGUAGGUGAAGUGAUUUACUCAUGGAGCUGAAGUCAGUCGAAGAUACCAGCUGGCUGCAACUGUUUAUUAAAAACACAGCACUGUGCAAACACGAAAGUGGACGUAUACGGUGUGACGCCUGCCCGGUGCCGGAAGGUUAAUUGAUGGGGUCAGCGCAAGCGAAGCUCCUGAUCGAAGCCCCGGUAAACGGCGGCCGUAACUAUAACGGUCCUAAGGUAGCGAAAUUCCUUGUCGGGUAAGUUCCGACCUGCACGAAUGGCGUAAUGAUGGCCAGGCUGUCUCCACCCGAGACUCAGUGAAAUUGAACUCGCUGUGAAGAUGCAGUGUACCCGCGGCAAGACGGAAAGACCCCGUGAACCUUUACUAUAGCUUGACACUGAACAUUGAGCCUUGAUGUGUAGGAUAGGUGGGAGGCUUUGAAGUGUGGACGCCAGUCUGCAUGGAGCCGACCUUGAAAUACCACCCUUUAAUGUUUGAUGUUCUAACGUGGACCCGUGAUCCGGGUUGCGGACAGUGUCUGGUGGGUAGUUUGACUGGGGCGGUCUCCUCCUAAAGAGUAACGGAGGAGCACGAAGGUUGGCUAAUCCUGGUCGGACAUCAGGAGGUUAGUGCAAUGGCAUAAGCCAGCUUGACUGCGAGCGUGACGGCGCGAGCAGGUGCGAAAGCAGGUCAUAGUGAUCCGGUGGUUCUGAAUGGAAGGGCCAUCGCUCAACGGAUAAAAGGUACUCCGGGGAUAACAGGCUGAUACCGCCCAAGAGUUCAUAUCGACGGCGGUGUUUGGCACCUCGAUGUCGGCUCAUCACAUCCUGGGGCUGAAGUAGGUCCCAAGGGUAUGGCUGUUCGCCAUUUAAAGUGGUACGCGAGCUGGGUUUAGAACGUCGUGAGACAGUUCGGUCCCUAUCUGCCGUGGGCGCUGGAGAACUGAGGGGGGCUGCUCCUAGUACGAGAGGACCGGAGUGGACGCAUCACUGGUGUUCGGGUUGUCAUGCCAAUGGCACUGCCCGGUAGCUAAAUGCGGAAGAGAUAAGUGCUGAAAGCAUCUAAGCACGAAACUUG